CUGGAUAGAAGAUUCAUCUACGCUGGCAAAAGGGCUGUCAGAAAGAGUCCAAUCCCGAGGAGAGUUCAUGUGUGAAAUUUCUUUGUUGAAUGGAGGUGAGUUCAAGGGCUUCUUUGAUCGGGAAAUGCACGCACUUCUUUUGUUGUCAUUAAGGUCCCUUCCCCCUGAGUUCAAGAUGUCCCUUCCGCUUCUCUUUCACUACUUCCCUCAUUGGGAUUGGUCAAGCUCCUUCACUUAUUGCUCGAUCCGAUCCGGAACCUAUUGGGAUAGCACCUUUUCCUCCUAUUUAGUAGGUCUUCUUUGAUCCGAUCCGGAACCUAUUGGGAUAGAACCUUUUCCUCCUAUUUAGUAGGUCUUCUUGCCCGUUCAGUUCCUCUACU
rnacentral:lncRNA from 1 species